UAAAAUAGAGAGUUGGUGCUCAAAUUUUAAUUUGUUGUAGUUCAGACUCGAGUUUUAUAAAUUGUUGUAAUCAAGUCCCACAAUCGAAUUUAAUCAACUAAAUAUUGAUGUAUUGCUAAUGGAAAGUAAUUUAGCAAUAUUAUGAUUGAUGAUGCGACAAUAAUUUUAAAAUGCUAUAUUAUUUCUAUAUCAGUGACUUUUUAAUAUUUAGUCCAGGGAC
rnacentral:lncRNA from 1 species